rnacentral:rRNA from 1 species
CCUACGGGAGGCAGCAGUGAGGAAUAUUGGUCAAUGGACGAGAGUCUGAACCAGCCAAGUAGCGUGAAGGAUGACUGCCCUAUGGGUUGUAAACUUCUUUUAUAUGGGAAUAAAACGUUCCACGUGUGGGAUUUUGUAUGUACCAUAUGAAUAAGGAUCGGCUAACUCCGUGCCAGCAGCCGCGGUAAUACGGAGGAUCCGAGCGUUAUCCGGAUUUAUUGGGUUUAAAGGGAGCGUAGGUGGAUUGUUAAGUCAGUUGUGAAAGUUUGCGGCUCAACCGCAAAAUUGCAGUUGAAACUGGCAGUCUUGAGUACAGUAGAGGUGGGCGGAAUUCGUGGUGUAGCGGUGAAAUGCUUAGAUAUCACGAAGAACUCCGAUUGCGAAGGCAGUUCACUGGACUGCAACUGACACUGAGGCUCGAAAGUGUGGGUAUCAAACAGGAUUAGAUACCCGAGUAGUC